CACAGAGGAGGAUCUGAAAUGCCACACACACACGCAUGCACGCGCUCCAGAACAAAAGGCCAAGGGUCGCCCACACUCCCAACAGUGGGCUGCAGGCCAUAUAGGAGGAGACGGGGACGUAGGGACAGCGACUCGUAUGCUUCCUGGUUCCUUUGUGUCAUUAAUUUUGCACACCGUGCCCCCAUGCAUUUCAUCCCAAACCCUUAGUGAGAGUCUGAGCAGCCUUGUUUUGGGCGUCUGGCCUGGUUGGCCUCCUCUCCACCCGCCUCAGG